GGAACCCUGUCUGUAUUUCUGUAUUCUAAGGCCUGAUGUAUUUUUUUUCAUCCAAAACAGAAAAACAUGUAAGUAGCUACUGUACUGGUGCACUUCUUAUUCACUUCUCGCAUAGUGUAAUCUCUGCUUAGGUCAGAUCUUCAGAACUAUCCAGAGGCCUUAGUACGGAGAUUACUGUUUUAUAAAACUCACGCAUGUGCUCUUCUGAAUUUUUAAUCCUUAUGCUGCUGUGAAAGAGUAGUCUUUCCUCUCUCCUGUUCCUCCAAGCUACCCAUUUCUACAGUGAACAUGUACUUACUCCUUGGAAGUGUCUCGGUUUCAUCAGUUGAAAGUCUCUACCUGCGCACGAGAUAUCUACACUUUAUGGUUUUAUUUCGGAAGAAGUUUGGUAGGAUGUUCAGGUGGUUGCUGUUAAGAUUCAGUAACAGUACUGGUUAGUAUGUGAGUAAAUAUUAGCCAUAUCUUGAAUCUUCAUGUAUGGGACUUUGAGCUUGGAAAUUUGGCCAGAAUAUGAAGUCAAUUACAUAAAAAAUGCCUUGAUAGCAACCAUCCUGCAUCUUUAUCCUGACCUUGAGCUGUAGGAAAGAGAAGUAAUUCUAUCUUCCUGCUCAGUCAAAUCCUUGCUUCAAUGAAUUUGAUAGUAGCUACUGAAAAACUAGAUCCAUGAGAAAGCGGGCUGAAUGCCUUGUCUCACUUUCCAGGCCCUCUGUGCAAUGGCCAUGCAGCAGUAUCUUUAGGUUAGUGCCAAUCGGGGUUAGGCAGCUAGAAGAGAGGAGUCCUGCUGGCCAUUACCAACUUGUAUCACAGAGACAGUCCUCGUUUCUUAAUUUGAGCAUGAGAUCAAGCUUGAAGCAAUCUAUAUGCAUGUAAAUGAAUUAAGCUGGUACACAAAAAUACACCUUUUAUGGAGCAUCUUUUUUUUUCAUCCUUUAAGUAAAGAAAGGUCAAUCUUUCUUUUGUAUUGGAGAACACUUGUUCAGAUAUAACAGCAGUGCAUUUCUGUGCAUUGAAUUAUUAAAGGGCUGUCAGCAUUCUUAAUAUAGGUAUUUUUCUCAUCUCCUUCAUAAAGGUCACGCAUAAGAAAGAAGGCUUAGGAAAUGGGGCAGCUUUCUGAGAAAGUAAUUGCUGUUUGUUUUUAAAAAGAAACAGUACAAUGUUCACAGAAUAAGUAGAAAGAGGAGUUAAACCUCAACUAAGUUAACUGUAACGAAAUUUUCUUAAUAUUUUUCCAAUUAAUACUAAGGAUUGCAGCUUAAAAAAAAACUCCUGGUUUGUGACAAAAUAAAUAUUUAGUAAAUAGAGUGAACUUUUCAAAUAAACUUGCAAAGUAUAUGCCUGUUUUUUCCUGCUCCUGCCUGAACUAAAAAUAAAUCUCUGAGUAGCUGUCUGGUGAAUCAUUCCCUGCUGUUGUAGGCUGGUCAGUUUGGUACUGAAUGAAGAUUACAGGGGGCAGGAAGCCUAGAGCAGCACCUGCAGAAAAUGAUCCUAAAUUGGAAAUACUGGAAUAAGUGCCUUGAAAGCCUCUAAAUCUGCAGAUGCUUAAUAAGACUCUUAACCUGAGAUGUUUUGUCAGGAUAUGUCUUAAGCUGAACUGAGAGAAGGGAGAAGGGACUGCUUGUGAUCUUUACUGAUUUUUUUUUUUUUAAGUUCUGUCUUCAAUAUAGUGUAAGUGAUGAUAAUUUUAUAUUUGAAAUAUCAAUUCCUGCAUUUAUUAACAAGAUGAACUAGAUGUCACCUAGACAUUUGACAGUUGAGCAUGAUGUCAUAUCGUAUAAGGGUUAAAAUCUGAAGGACAGAACUCAACCUUGGCCUGAACAGUGCAUCUGGAUGCUUCACUUUCGAGCCCAUUUUUAAUUUAGUUCAUUAAGAUUAGAAUAAUUCAAACAUCUGAUACUUAAUUGGAAGAGAAACUGUUCCAAGUACCGGUGCAAACUGGAAGAUCAUUUUGUAACCUUUUGGGAUCCCACCUGAUAGAAAAUACCAGGUUUGGGUUUUCUCUAUUUUACCCUAAGAUUUCUUUCAAAAAAUUAGUGUGGGAGCGUUGACUAUAGAGUAAUGUUUAGGACCAUAUAAUUACACCAUUAAAAAAACCAAACCUUUCUCCCUCAUCUCUAAUUUAUUGUAAACAGGAUUGAAGACCUGCUGGCUGGGAUUUUUUAUUUCAGAAGAAAGCAAAGGGUGUAAAGUUUGCUCACUGCUCAUAUACACCAGAUUAGAAGUGCGUAGUUCCUCUUACACUAAGUGGGUGAAAACCAUGACCUCCAUGUUACUGGAAAUAAGAACCAUACCUAUGCAUGUCCAUUCAAUGAAAAAUUAGAGUCUGUAAAUGUCUGAAUAGAUAAAUUGUUCUCUGAUCUCAGAAGAACUGCUCCAUGACACAACAGUGGGCAGCAGCUCAGUGGUCACGGGAAGAAGAAAGGAUACAGUAGAUCCAUUUCUGCAUGUGCUUCUGGGCAUGUUCCCACUGGAUGCUAUGAACAGGAGCAGAACGGAGCCUUCAUCUUGAUUCUGGAAACAACCACUACCUGAGAAACAUGGGGAGCCUCACAGUUUGCACACCCUUGGUUGCGUUAAUCUUGACACGUGCUUUCAGAGAUAGGAGUUCCCAAAGUCAUUGUUGGCUUACCUGUCCUAUUUAAUAUCUUUGGGAUUGUUCCUAGGAACAUGCUGCAAACAUAAAAUCCUUCCAACAUUACUUCCUAGAAAUGCAGACCUCUCAAUUAGAAGAAGGAGGAGAGAAAAAAAACCUAAAGAAUCAGUAUUUUCUGGACUUUCUGGUUUUCAGGUUCUUUUUUGGCAUGCAAAUGCUACAGCAAUUUCUUUGCUUGACCCUAAAGUGGCUAGAGAAGUAGAAUUUAUGAAACAGGUGCAAGUACAGAAUACACAAGGACAAUAUUUUAUACUGGUAUUCUCUGUAGCAGGCGACAAACCCACAAACAGCCAUUACAUUGGGCAUUUAAAGAUAGUUUAAUUCCUCCUGCAAAGCCAGGAAGCUAUCGUUUGUUCCUGGCACAGUUCUUAACUGGGUGAUAUUUCAUACAUGAAAAUGCCUCCAGAUAAUACUUUAGCUGUCACAGGUAUUAAUUAACAUCUGUUGGAUUACAGCUGAAAUGGAAAACAGUGAGAAAGUAAAGAAUCAUACUAGAAUAGCCAAUACUAUUGACCAUGAUUCAAAUUCCAUAAGCUUUGGAAAGCUGAAGUCACAUUUUAAGUGAUCCCUUGCAGCAUUUAAAAUAUUAGCUUUUAGUGUUAUUUUUCCUUAGCUCAUGUGCUUUUAUUUAUCUGCUAUGAUAAUGUACCAUACAGUUACCUUUGUAAUGAGUAACCUUCUUUAUCAUAUAUUACUUCUCUAGUUGUAUUUAUUGGUUUUCUCUUUUUUGUGCUGGAACAGAAAUUUGGCUGGAUUGUUCUCUGCAAAAGAUUUCAACAAAGUCUGAAGAUAUUCCUAUGACCCUUCUUUGCCUAAAUCUAAACUCGAAUUAAUGAUAAUACCUCGCAGUUACCGAGAGUUCUGGAGAAGUGAGCUCACCACUGAAAACGGAUCCUUUUAUGUUCCUGAAAAUAAACAUGAAUCAUCCCUACUUUAGAGAUAAUAAAUUCAAGAUAUAGGGCUAAAGUAAAGCUCAUGACAAGUCCUAUUCUCUUCUUGGAAGAAAUGGUGCAGGCACCUAUGCUUGGGAGGGGACUCUGGGCUCUGGAGCCUGCCUUGAUGGAAGCACGUCCCAGCAGAUAGAGGACAUGUUAGACUCACGCCUGUCCCCAGGACUUUAUUACUGGGCCACUCACAGCAACUGAAUGCUGCAGCACAUGAGCUUCAAGGAGUCUGCAGCCCAGAACAGAGUCCAAAACCCUAAGCUCAUUACUGAAUCUGGGUCUUGCUAGCAGGCCAAAAGUCAUAUAUGUCAUUUAUGCCAGACCAAGAACCCUUUACACAAAAUUAGAGUGGGUAAGAACUGUAUUGCUCAGUGUUGAUUUGCCUGCAAUUCAGGCCUAGCAAACACCAUUUCCAGAUGCUGGGGAGCUAUAUUUUUGCUAUAUUUUAUCUAAAAGUGGCUAUAUUUUUGUACAUCAUGUAUGUUAAUUUCUGUAUAGGUCAUAUUUGCUAAAUGCUUUGGAAUUCCUCUGAAUGAAAGCUGCAUGAACAGAAGGGUUGACUUUCUGCUCCUAGGAGUGAAUGAGUACUUGGCAGGAAUUCAUGUGCCUGCAGUGGGUCAUUAAGUAUUUUUAUAAUGCCCUGUCAUACUCAACAUUUGCAAAAAAACAGCUCAAGACACGUGCAGGGUGACAUGACACACUGUUUUUAUAUAGCAAUAAAACUGUCCAAUGUUCAAACAAUAAAAUAUUCAUUACAAUACCGAGCAAUAGAAAAUGUCCUUCCUGCUCAUUGGAGGGGCUGAUGUGAGAAGCUUUUUACCCACGUCCUCUAGGAGGAACUCAUGUCCUCUGCCAUCUUCCCACAAGAGACUCCAAAGUCUGUCAGCCUCAGGGGCUUUCUGCCGUAGAUGCCAGCUUUUACAAUCCCAUACUGCUUUUAAUACUCUCCGGAUAGUAAAUUUACCUACCACAGAAAGUAUUUUUGUAUCACUUAAAGUAUAACAUUAAGAUGAUUUAGUGUGCCCUGGCAAAGGUUUAGUCUCCAAGAAGAGUGAGAAUUUUAGCUGUACAACUCCAGCUGUUUAACGUUGACCAUUUACAUGGUCCUUCUUGUGCCUACAUAACAAUGCUUAACAUUGAUAAUUUCCUGAGCUGGAGCAUACUAGCUUCUUAUAAAUUAUGCUCUUUAGCAGCAGCCUGGCUCUCCUUUUACAGCAUGGUAAUAAAUCCCAGUAUCAAUCACUAACAUUGCUUCCUUCGUCAUAGGUACUUCAGAGUCUGAUUAAAAAAAAAGAAAGAGAAAAUUUCCAAGAUUUGGGUUUUUUAAGGGAACUACAGCUUCCUCUAGACCAGGGAUCAUAGCGAGUUGCAUGAUCUGUGGCAAGGAGCUCAGACUGCCCUUUACAAGUCUGCUCUUUCAGUAACUACUGAGAUUUUAACAUCUGUGAAUUCUGAAUCCGAGGCUCAGUCUACUCCUCGCAGAAGUUUUUUUUCUCACCCUCUUAUCAGUUUGGAAACAUACAGUUUACAAGAUGUAUUUGUUGGACCCUGAAAAUAGCUGUUGUUAUUGACUCUUAUUCUCUGUCAAGAGUGUAUCUUGUUCAUGGGAUUUACACUUUCCACAUCACUUAAAGCUUCUGCUCUUUGAUACAUGAGUCAUAACAUCCUCUUUGCCCUUUGAGGUCUGGAAAGGCAUGCUGAAAUCUCAUAUUGGUACUUCAAGGGGAAAUAUGACCAUAGGAUUCCAGGAGGUUUUAAUCAGGCUUUUAAUGAUGCUAAACAUACAUACCCUAAUGCUUUUAAUUAUUAGGAAGAGGAGUACAUGUUAAUUCUUGUGUUUGCAAGCCUUACUCUUGACACUGGCAACCUGACAAAGGCCACAGCUUUCAUAUGUUUUCUAAGGCCAUCUCCUACAUAUUGUCCCUAAUGAUAAUAUUUUGGAGGAAUAACUUAAUUUAACUAAAAUCAGGAGUGUUGUGUAUAACUAAAUCAGGACCAAACCAGGGCUGUGAUUUCACUAGAUUCCACAGAGAGGAAGUUAAUCUGAAAGGACGUUCUUAGCACUCUGGCAGAAGUACCUCUCGGUGCUCAAGUCAUUAAAAUGCAUGAGCAUGCCAAAAGUGAAGAAAGUAAGAGCUUUAGGGAAUAACAGAUAGUCCUCUCUCUAAUUCAGUAUAUCAGCCUUGUUUUGUCUUAGGCCUGAAGCAAUCUCAGUGGGCACCAAGAUGGUUUUUACUCUCUCCUUAGCUGCCUUCCCUAAUAACUUAUUUCACAUCAUGUGGUUGUUACUGUCCUCUGUUCAGUUUUAUGUAGAUUUUAAUGCUUAGGUGAAGGGUCCUUCACUCGCAUUCUCUUUAGAUUGUGAAUUUUCUUACCUAAAGGCUUUUUAAUUUCCCAGCUUUGUAUGUUAGAGGAGUUCACUUUUUCACUUGCUAAGUGACUUUGUUUUUUGUUGGCUGAGAAAAAUUGAUAAAGGUGUGUCUCCAACAGUGUAUUUAUGCCUAACACCAGCUACCCAGGAUAGUUAUGACAUUCUACGCACAGUGAAUACCUGAUCAAUGCUCUGCUUCUGCAAAUGUCAGAGAAGGCACCUAAGAAUGGGAGCCAGAACUCUCCAGGGAGAAGUCCUUCUCGUCAUCACCAAGCACGUGAGGAAUACAGUGCAUGCUGCCUGUAUUUACUGUGAGUGCUGUGAGUGCUGUUGGGUUUAAACUAUAAAUUGUGCCAGUGCUAAAAGGUUCAAAGAGUAGGAGCAGCAGCAGCUGAGGAAUAGGAUAUAACGUGCUCUGAGCUGUUGCUGUUUACAAAUGCAGCAGGGUAAACUUCCACUGAGGAACAAGACAUGACAGUAUGUCUUCAGAAGUGACAUCCCUUAUAAAACAGUUCAGGCUGUAAAUAUUUAUACAUGUUGUAUGCUCUCUGAUGGGCAAGCAGUCUGACUUGGUAAUGUCAGGGAAAAUAGCCUAAUAACACGUAAGGUGCAGGGUUGACACUUGUUCUGUGUUUUAUUUUAUAUGCCUUAGGAUCUUGACUUAAUGCCUCCUAACAAAUCCUAUAUUGGGAUUUUAAGUAGUAAUGUUCCAAAGCUGAUCCUGAUUCUUGGCUGAUAGAUGAAAGGGCAUUUAAUUUCCCAGUUGAGAAAAGCUGCUAAGGACAGAAAGCCUUUCUGACCGGGAAAGUGAAGUAAGUUAUGCCAAUUACUUUUCUGUGAACAGAGGUAGGUGAAUAUUGAACGCUCCUGCAAAGCUUACUUUCAAUAUCAAAGCAAUGAAACAGCUUAUCCUGAUGCUAUCUAUACCAUUAAUUCCUCCUGACCUCAACAACAGUUGAACAACUGUGAGGUUUUUCUGUGUCUGUUCUGCAAGUUUUAUAUGCAGAAAAUCUAGAUUUCCUGCUACUUCUAGAAAACAAAUGUUUAUCACUAUAUAUGCUCAGUGCUUUACUGUGUUUUGCAGAAUAUGGCAUCACUGCACCACAGGGCUAUAUGGCCAAACCAAUGCUUUGAUUGAAUGUUCAGCAAUCAAUGUAUAUCUUUAAAAAUGAUACAUAUUUGACUGUAGGAUCCGGAACUGCCAUAUUUAAAGACAUUUCCUUGUAAUUCUGAGUGUGAUAACUGAGAUUUUAAAUGUAUAAAUUCAUUAAAUUUAAAAGCUAUGUUUUCCGCAACAACCAGAUCUUGACUUCAGGCAUGUUACAACAAAAAGGAAAUCAUAUCUACAUUAAUCUAA